UACGUAGGGGGCAAGCGUUGUCCGGAUUUAUUGGGCGUAAAGAGCGUGUAGGCGGCCAGACAGGUCCGUUGUGAAAACUCGAGGCUCAACCUCGAGACGCCGAUGGAAACCGUCUGGCUAGAGUCCGGAAGAGGAGAGUGGAGUUCCUGGUGUAGCGGUGAAAUGCGCAGAUAUCAGGAAGAACACCCGUGGCUAAGGCGGCUCUCUAGUACGGUACUGACGCUGAGACGCGAAAGCGUGGGGAGCGAACAGG
rnacentral:rRNA from 1 species